rnacentral:rRNA from 1 species
GAUGAACGCUGGCGGCGUGCCUAAUACAUGCCAGUCGAGCGAACAGAUAAGGAGCUUGCUCCUUUGACGUUAGCGGCGGACGGGUGAGUAACACGUGGGUAACCUACCUAUAAGACUGGAAUAACUCCGGGAAACCGGGGCUAAUGCCGGAUAACAUUUAGAACCGCAUGGUUCUAAAGUGAAAGAUGGUUUUACUAUCACUUAUAGAUGGACCCGCGCCGUAUUAGCUAGUUGGUAAGGUAACGGCUUACCAAGGCAACGAUACGUAGCCGACCUGAGAGGGUGAUCGGCCACACUGGAACUGAGACACGGUCCAGACUCCUACGGGAGGCAGCAGUAGGGAAUCUUCCGCAAUGGGCGAAAGCCUGACGGAGCAACGCCGCGUGAGUGAUGAAGGUCUUCGGAUCGUAAAACUCUGUUAUUAGGGAAGAACAAAUGUGUAAGUAGCUGUGCACGUCUUGACGGUACCUAAUCAGAAAGCCACGGCUAACUACGUG